CCUACGAGAGGCAGCAGUGAGGAAUAUUGGUCAAUGGGCGCGAGCCUGAACCAGCCAAGUAGCGUGAAGGAUGACUGCCCUACGGGUUGUAAACUUCUUUUAUAAAGGAAUAAAGUGAGGCACGUGUGCCUUUUUGUAUGUACUUUAUGAAUAAGGAUCGACUAACUCCGUGCCAGCAGCCGCGGUAAUACGGAGGAUCCGAGCGUUAUCCGGAUUUAUUGGGUUUAAAGGGAGCGUAGAUGGGUUGUUAAGUCAGUUGUGAAAGUUUGCGGCUCAACCGUAAAAUUGCAAUUGAUACUGGCAGUCUUGAGUACAGUUGAGGUAGGCGGAAUUCGUGGUGUAGCGGUGAAAUGCUUAGAUAUCACGAAGAACCCCGAUUGCGAAGGCAGCUUACUAAACUGUGACUGACAUUGAUGCUCGAAAGUGUGGGUAUCAAACAGGAUUAGAUACCCUAGUAGUC
rnacentral:rRNA from 1 species